UUGGAGGGCAAGUCUGGUGCCAGCAGCCGCGGUAAUUCCAGCUCCAAUAGCGUAUAUUAAAGUUGUUGCAGUUAAAAAGCUCGUAGUUGAAUUUCGAGAUCAGUACGCUGGUCGUGCCUUCGGUAUGCACUGGUGUCACUGGUUUCUCCCUUCUGAAGAACCGUCAUGCCAUUCAGUUGGUGUGGCGGGGAAUCAGGACUGUUACUUUGAAAAAAUUAGAGUGUUUAAAGCAGGCUCGCGCUUGAAUACAUUAGCAUGGAAUAAUGCAAUAGGACGUUUGACCCUAUUUUGUUGGUUUCUAGGAUCGACGUAAUGAUUAAUAGGGAUAGUUGGGGGCAUUAGUAUUCAAUUGUCAGAGGUGAAAUUCUUGGAUUUAUUGAAGACUGACUACUGCGAAAGCAUUUGCCAAGGAUGUUUUCAUUAAUCAAGAACGAAAGUUAGGGGAUCGAAGACGAUCAGAUACCGUCGUAGUCUUAACCAUAAACUAUGCCGACUAGGGAUCGGAUGAUGUUAAUUUUUUAAUGACUCAUUCGGCGCCUUACGGGAAAC
rnacentral:rRNA from 1 species